rnacentral:rRNA from 1 species
CCUACGGGCGGCUGCAGUGAGGAAUAUUGGUCAAUGGAAGAGAGUCUGAACCAGCCAAGUAGCGUGAAGGAUGACUGCCCUAUGGGUUGUAAACUUCUUUUAUAAAGGAAUAAAACGAGGCACGUGUGCCUUUUUGCAUGUACUUUAUGAAUAAGGAUCGGCUAACUCCGUGCCAGCAGCCGCGGUAAUACGGAGGAUCCGAGCGUUAUCCGGAUUUAUUGGGUUUAAAGGGAGCGUAGAUGGGUUGUUAAGUCAGUUGUGAAAGUUUGCGGCUCAACCGUAAAAUUGCAAUUGAUACUGGCAGUCGUGAGUACAGUUGAGGUAGGCGGAAUUCGUGGUGUAGCGGUGAAAUGCUUAGAUAUCACGAAGAACCCCGAUUGCGAAGGCAGCUUACUAAACUGUGACUGACAUUGAUGCUCGAAAGUGUGGGUAUCAAACAGGAUUAGAUACCCUUGUAGUC